GAUGAAGAACGCAGCGAAAUGCGAUAAGUAGUGUGAAUUGCAGAAUUCAGUGAAUCAUCGAAUCUUUGAACGCACAUUGCGCCCUUUGGUAUUCCUUAGGGCAUGCCUGUUCGAGCGUCAUUUGAAACCUCAAGCUCAGCUUGGUGUUGGGUGUCUGUCCCCGCCUCACCGCGGGGACUCGCCUCAAAAUCAUUGGCGGCCGGUACGUUGGCUUCGAGCGCAGCAGAAACGCGAACUCGAGGCCCGGCGGAUCGGCGACCAGAAGUCACUUCUUCACAGUUUGACCUCGGAUCAGGUAGGGAUACCCGCUGAACUUAAGCAUAUCCAAUAAGCGGAGGA
rnacentral:misc_RNA from 1 species